rnacentral:rRNA from 1 species
AAAACGACUCUCGGCAACGGAUAUCUCGACUCUCGCAUCGAUGAAGAACGUAGCGAAAUGCGAUACUUGGUGUGAAUUGCAGAAUCCCGUGAAUCAUCGAGUCUUUGAACGCAAGUUGCGCCCGACGCCAUUCGGCCGAGGGCACGUCUGCCUGGGUGUCAC